rnacentral:lncRNA from 1 species
GUCAUUGCUUUUUAUUUGAUCACCUCUAGCUUCUGGGAGGAGCACGGUACCUCAGUGUAGGGAGAUUCCAAUUACACAUUCCUUUAAAAACAUCUUUAGAAAGCUUAUAAACUAGGUUUCUGUGUGGUUUUGCCAAACAGCCCUUAAUGUUAGUUAUCCCUUCUCUUCCUGCUCCUCCUGCCUAAUCUCCUUACUUGAACUUGCCUUUUGAGUUCCCUCUUUCCAGCCUUUCAGCCAGCUGACUUAUGGGUGCUGAGUUGGCAGUGUGAGUCCAGGCUCCCAGGUGACAGCUGUGGUGAUCUCCUGAGCCAGGGCCCAGAAGGCUUUGCUUCUCUGUUUCAUCUCUCGGAGGGAGGAGAGGGCAGCUGAUGCCAAUCACGCUGGUGUGUGGCUUUCAGAGAGCUGAUCUCUCCAGGAUCGGAGUGUCAAUAAACUCUUUCACUUUAUCUUCCUCUCGCCCCAAGCUCUGAGUUUGCAGCAAGCCAAGGUAUUUGCCAGAAGACAGUGCCUAGAAAGAACUGUAAUGAUUUCUACUUAUCUUUCUCAUAAUUAAUGGCUCACUUGAAUGCCUCAGACCUAUAGACAACUGGGGUCAGCUGCUACAUGGGAAUAACAUUGGAGGGAAAGAGGGCUGCUGUCCUGGAGGCAGCCUGAGCAUCAGAACUACGGUAUCACUUCUCCUUGCUCUGUCUCCCUCCUGACCCCUCCCCCUCCAGUAACAGUUAAAAUGCAUACAGGUACAUUGAUUGAAUACCAGUUUGGCUAUUUCCAUCUGAAGGAGCUUGGGGCAAUUUACUUAAACUUUUGAGUCCCAGUUGCCCAUGAAAUGGGAAAACAAAGAUGGUCAUUGUGAGAACAGAAGUUGUACCACGUGUACCCAGGUCAUGCCUGUCUCCAGCUCUUUGCAGGCAAGGGAGCACCUGAGAACCCCUCAUCUCUGAGUCCAGGUGAAGACGCAGGACCAGCAAACGAGGACCCCCGCCCCCUUCCCCGAGGCUGCUUUGGUUGGUGUUCUCUGUACAGCGGGGAUCGCGCUGUUUCUGGGGACCGCCCGCUGUGGAGAAGUCAGGGGUGGCCGAGAGUGAUGCUGGUGGCCGUCCCUCCUCCUGAGACCCUCUCCAGGAGCCCC